UACGGGGGGGGCAAGCGUUGUUCGGAAUUACUGGGCGUAAAGGGCUCGUAGGCGGCCAACUAAGUCGGAUGUGAAAUCCCCAGGCUCAACUUGGGAACUGCAUCCGAUACUGGAUGGCUUGAAUUUGGGAGAGGGAUGCAGAAUUCCAGGUGUAGCGGUGAAAUGCGUAGAUAUCUGGAGGAAUACCGGUGGCGAAGGCGGCAUCCUGGACCGACAUUGACGCUGAGGAGCGAAAGCUAGGGGAGCAAACGGG
rnacentral:rRNA from 1 species